GAUGAACGCUGGCGGCGUGCCUAAUACAUGCAAGUCGAACGAAACUUCUUUAUCACCGAGUGCUUGCACUCACCGAUAAAGAGUUGAGUGGCGAACGGGUGAGUAACACGUGGGCAACCUGCCCAAAAGAGGGGGAUAACACUUGGAAACAGGUGCUAAUACCGCAUAACCAUAGUUACCGCAUGGUAACUAUGUAAAAGGUGGCUAUACUACCGCUUUUGGAUGGGCCCGCGGCGCAUUAGCUAGUUGGUAGGGUAAAGGCUUACCAAGGCAAUGAUGCGUAGCCGAAUUGAGAGGUUGAUCGGCCACAUUGGGACUGAGACACGGCCCAAACUCCUACGGGAGGCAGCAGUAGGGAAUCUUCCACAAUGGGCGAAAGCCUGAUGGAGCAACGCCGCGUGGGUGAAGAAGGUCUUCGGAUCGUAAAACCCUGUUGUUAGAGAAGAAAGUGCGUGAGAGUAACUGUUCACGUUUCGACGGUAUCUAACCAGAAAGCCACGGCUAGCUACGUG
rnacentral:rRNA from 1 species